rnacentral:rRNA from 1 species
AGCGAACGCUGGCGGCAGGCCUAACACGUGCAAGUCGAACGAAGUCUUCGGACUUAGUGGCGGACGGGUGAGUAACACGUGGGAACGUACCUUUUGGUUCGGAACAACUCAGGGAAACUUGAGCUAAUACCGGAUGAGCCCUUAGGGGGAAAGAUUUAUCGCCGAAAGAGCGGCCCGCGUUAGAUUAGCUAGUUGGUGAGGUAAAGGCUCACCAAGGCUACGAUCUAUAGCUGGUCUGAGAGGAUGAUCAGCCACACUGGGACUGAGACACGGCCCAGACUCCUACGGGAGGCAGCAGUGGGGAAUCUUGCGCAAUGGGCGAAAGCUUGACGCAGCCAUGCCGCGUGAAUGAUGAAGGUCUUAGGAUUGUAAAAUUCUUUUACCAGGGACGAUAAUGACGGUACCUGGAGAAAAAGCCCCGGCUAACUUCGUGCCAGCCGCCGCGGUAACAC